rnacentral:rRNA from 1 species
UACGUAGGGUCCGAGCGUUGUCCGGAAUUAUUGGGCGUAAAGGGCUCGUAGGCGGUUCGUCACGUCGGGAGUGAAAACUCGGAGCUUAACUCCGAGCCUGCUUCCGAUACGGGCAGACUAGAGGUAGGCAGGGGAGAGCGGAACUCCUGGUGUAGCGGUGGAAUGCGCAGAUAUCAGGAAGAACACCGGUGGCGAAGGCGGCUCUCUGGGCCACUACUGACGCUGAGAAGCGAAAGCAUGGGGAGCGAACAGG